UUCACUUUGGAUGGGUGGAUGGAUGGAUGGAUGGAUGUGUGGUGAGAGACCUCAGGUGACAGCAAUCAGGGUAGUUCCCGUUAAUAGGACUGAUCACGAAUGACGUCAAAAUGCUAUUUUUAGAACAGCGUACUGCGCAGGCGCCGCCGCCAUAUUGGAUUCGGACAAACAACCUGUAGAGCGUGUAUACUGUGUUUGUACGAGCAAAGUUGCAUUCCGAAUAGCCGAAUAUUUCUUUAACAAAACCAUUAUGGUAACAACUAAACACUGCUGCUUCGGUGUCUGCCGAAGUGACUCGCAAUAUAGUGACCGUGAACAUAUGAAGGGAGUGUUUUUCAUUCCAUUUCCAAAGCCCGGAAGAGAACCAGAGAAAUGCCAACGUUGGGUACGAGCUUGUAAACGGGAGGGAUUCACUGAGAAAAAUGUGACAAAGGAUACAUACAUUUGCUCUCUGCAUUUCCUCGGUGGAAAAGGGCCAACAAUUGAUGAUCCAGACCCAAUACCAGCAACAACAUCUGGACAGGUGGAGAAAAUAGCCCGCAAAAGGAAAGCUCCUACCCAAAGAAAUGAGGCUGUUUCUGAAGCAAAGAGAAAGAGGAAAAGAUUGACCCACAACAACACUCCAUCGUCCAUUAAUUGUAAUAGAAAUGAAGUUCAAAUAAAAACAUUUCAGAUGCA